rnacentral:rRNA from 1 species
UACGUAGGGUGCAAGCGUUGUCCGGAAUUAUUGGGCGUAAAGGGCUCGUAGGCGGUCCAUCGCGUCGGGAGUGAAAAGCUGGGGCUUAACCCCAGUCCUGCUUCCGAUACGGGUGGACUAGAGGUAGGUAGGGGAGAACGGAAUUCCUGGUGUAGCGGUGAAAUGCGCAGAUAUCAGGAGGAACACCGGUGGCGAAGGCGGUGGUCUGGGCCGGCACUGACGCUGAGAAGCGAAAGCGUGGGGAGCGAACAGG